rnacentral:rRNA from 1 species
UCCUACGGGAGGCAGCAGUGGGGAAUAUUGGGCAAUGGACGCAAGUCUGACCCAGCAACGCCGCGUGAAGGAAGAAGGCUUUCGGGUUGUAAACUUCUUUUAAGGGGGAAGAGCAGAAGACGGUACCCCUUGAAUAAGCCACGGCUAACUACGUGCCAGCAGCCGCGGUAAUACGUAGGUGGCAAGCGUUGUCCGGAUUUACUGGGUGUAAAGGGCGUGCAGCCGGAGAGACAAGUCAGAUGUGAAAUCCCAAGGCUCAACCUUGGAACUGCAUUUGAAACUGUUGGUCUUGAGUAUCGGAGAGG